ACAGACUGUAGUGGUUUCCCUAGUGCGCUCUCUGAAGGCUGGUUUAACCCAAAGCGCUCUACAGCUGCAAGGGUAGCCAAGCCCUGAGACUCUGAUCAGACUCUUCCUGU